rnacentral:tRNA from 1 species
CAUUAGAUGGCUGAAAGUAAGUGAUGGUCUCUUAAACCAUUUGAUAGUAAAUUAACAAUUACUUCUAAUG